rnacentral:rRNA from 1 species
UACGAAGGGGGCUAGCGUUGUUCGGAAUUACUGGGCGUAAAGCGCGCGCAGGCGGUUCUUCAAGUCAGAGGUGAAAGCCCAGAGCUCAACUCUGGAAUGGCCUUUGAGACUAGAGAACUAGGGUACGGGAGAGGUGAGUGGAAUUCCGAGUGUAGAGGUGAAAUUCGUAGAUAUUCGGAAGAACACCAGUGGCGAAGGCGGCUCACUGGCCCGUUACCGACGCUCAGGCGCGAAAGCGUGGGGAGCAAACAGG